AGUUAGGACCAGUGUAAAAAGU
rnacentral:siRNA from 1 species